rnacentral:rRNA from 1 species
UACGUAGGGGGCAAGCGUUGUCCGGAUUCAUUGGGCGUAAAGAGCGCGUAGGCGGCCAGGCACGUCGGUUGUGAAAACUGGAGGCUCAACCUUCAGAGGUCGACCGAAACCAUCUGGCUAGAGUCCGGGAGAGGAGAGUGGAAUUCCUGGUGUAGCGGUGAAAUGCGCAGAUAUCAGGAAGAACACCCGUGGCGAAAGCGGCUCUCUGGAACGGUACUGACGCUGAGACGCGAAAGCGUGGGGAGCGAACAGG